GUUUUAAUAGUUUAAGAAAAACACCGGUCUUGUAAACCGGAAUUGAAGAUGUAUCUUCUUAAAGCA
rnacentral:tRNA from 1 species